rnacentral:rRNA from 1 species
AUUGAACGCUGGCGGCAGGCCUAACACAUGCAAGUCGAGCGAGCGGCGGACGGGUGAGUAAUGUAUGGGGACUGCCCGAUAGAGGGGGAUAACUACUGGAAACGGUAGCUAAUACCGCAUCCUAUCGGAUAACCCAUAUUGGAUUCGCUAGUAGGUGAGGUAAUGGCGCACCUAGGCGACGAUCCCUAGCUGGUCUGAGAGGAUGACCAGCCACACUGGGAUUGAGACACGGCCCAGACUCCUACGGAGGCAGCAGUGGGGAAUAUUGCACAAUGGGCGCAAGCCUGAUCCAGCCAUCCCGCGUGUAUGAUGAAGGCCUUCGGGUUGUAAAGUACUUUUGGCAGGGAGGCGGUAUCUGCAGAAUAAGCACCGGCUAACUACGUGCCAGCAGCCGCGGUAAUUC